rnacentral:rRNA from 2 species
GAAGCUUCCGUUGAAUGACGUGCUUGCACUGAUUUCAACAAUGAAGCGAGUGGCGAACUGGUGAGUAACACGUGGGGAAUCUGCCCAGAAGCAGGGGAUAACACUUGGAAACAGGUGCUAAUACCGUAUAACAACAAAAUCCGCAUGGAUUUUGUUUGAAAGGUGGCUUCGGCUAUCACUUCUGGAUGAUCCCGCGGCGUAUUAGUUAGUUGGUGAGGUAAAGGCCCACCAAGACGAUGAUACGUAGCCGACCUGAGAGGGUAAUCGGCCACAUUGGGACUGAGACACGGCCCAAACUCCUACGGGAGGCAGCAGUAGGGAAUCUUCCACAAUGGACGAAAGUCUGAUGGAGCAAUGCCGCGUGAGUGAAGAAGGGUUUCGGCUCGUAAAACUCUGUUGUUAAAGAAGAACACCUUUGAGAGUAACUGUUCAAGGGUUGACGGUAUUUAACCAGAAAGCCACGGCUAACUACGUGCCAGCAGCCGCGGUAAUACGUAGGUGGCAAGCGUUGUCCGGAUUUAUUGGGCGUAAAGCGAGCGCAGGCGGUUUUUUAAGUCUGAUGUGAAAGCCUUCGGCUUAACCGGAGAAGUGCAUCGGAAACUGGGAGACUUGAGUGCAGAAGAGGACAGUGGAACUCCAUGUGUAGCGGUGGAAUGCGUAGAUAUAUGGAAGAACACCAGUGGCGAAAGCGGCUGUCUAGUCUGUAACUGACGCUGAGGCUCGAAAGCAUGGGUAGCGAACAGGAUUAGAUACCUGGUAGUCCAUGCCGUAACGAUGAGUGCUAGUGUUGAGGGUUUCGCCCUCAGUGCUGCAGCUACGCAUAGCACUCGCCUGGGAGUACGAC